rnacentral:rRNA from 2 species
UGUAGCAGUGAAAUGCGUAGAGAUGUGGAGGAAUACCGAUGGCGAAGGCAGCCUCCUGGGAUAACACUGACGUUCAUGCUCGAAAGCGUGGGUAGCAAACAGGAUUAGAUACCCUGGUAGUCCACGCCCUAAACGAUGUCAAUUAGCUGUUGGGCAACUUGAUUGCUUAGUAGCGUAGCUAACGCGUGAAAUUGACCGCCUGGGGAGUACGGUCGCAAGAUUAAAACUCAAAGGAAUUGACGGGGACCCGCACAAGCGGUGGAUGAUGUGGAUUAAUUCGAUGCAACGCGAAGAACCUUACCUGGUCUUGACAUGUACGGAAUCCUCCAGAGACGGAGGAGUGCCUUCGGGAGCCGUAACACAGGUGCUGCAUGGCUGUCGUCAGCUCGUGUCGUGAGAUGUUGGGUUAAGUCCCGCAACGAGCGCAACCCUUGUCAUUAGUUGCCAUCAUUUAGUUGGGCACUCUAAUGAGACUGCCGGUGACAAGCCGGAGGAAGGUGGGGAUGACGUCAAGUCCUCAUGGCCCUUAUGACCAGGGCUUCACACGUCAUACAAUGGUCGGUACAGAGGGUAGCCAAGCCGCGAGGUGGAGCCAAUCUCACAAAACCGAUCGUAGUCCGGAUUGCACUCUGCAACUCGAGUGCAUGAAGUCGGAAUCGCUAGUAAUCGCAGGUCAGCAUACUG